GUUCAAGAGUCGCGAUCGUAGGUACCUGGCCGGUCGCGCGACAACCCGAAUCCAUCGAUUCCCGGGUGUCCCAGGGGAAGAACGGGCGGCACGGACUUCGUGUCGCAAGAUUCGAUG
rnacentral:ncRNA from 2 species